GCCCUGCAGCAAUUUAUUGGGGAACCUUCAGACAUUUGUUUCAUCCAGAAUUAAACAGAAGCAAAGACAGGGAUCUGUGGUCACUGCACAGAUACAGAGGCUGGCCAAGAGAUGACUUGCUCAAGAUCAUACAGCCAGAGGUUAUUUUUCAGAGCAUGUUGAUCCCUCUCUGACCCUCACAAGAGUUCUAUGAGGUGAACAGGACAGGUAUAUCCUUUACCCCCUGAGCCACCAGGGAAGCCGUAGUGCGACAUACUCAUCUUUGCGUCCUCAGAGCCCGCGUGGCACAGUCUACGUGCUCAAUCAAUCAAUCCACAGUGAGGCUCCAAGUCCCCAUGGUGCAUCUCCCCUCAUCCCUCCAGGGCUGGCGCUGGGGCCGGAGCCGGGGCAGGGGUGGGGGCCCC